GACGAACGCUGGCGGCGUGCUUAACACAUGCAAGUCGAACGGAAAGGCCCUUCGGGGUACUCGAGUGGCGAACGGGUGAGUAACACGUGGGUGAUCUGCCCUGCACUUUGGGAUAAGCCUGGGAAACUGGGUCUAAUACCGAAUAGGACUACGGCCUUCAUGGGUUGUGGUGGAAAGCUUUUGCGGUGUGGGAUGGGCCCGCGGCCUAUCAGCUUGUUGGUGGGGUAAUGGCCUACCAAGGCGACGACGGGUAGCCGGCCUGAGAGGGUGACCGGCCACACUGGGACUGAGAUACGGCCCAGACUCCUACGGGAGGCAGCAGUGGGGAAUAUUGCACAAUGGGCGCAAGCCUGAUGCAGCGACGCCGCGUGAGGGAUGACGGCCUUCGGGUUGUAAACCUCUUUCAGCAGGGACGAAGCGCAAGUGACGGUACCUGUAGAAGAAGGACCGGCCAACUACGUGCCAGCAGCCGCGGUAAUACGUAGGGUCCGAGCGUUGUCCGGAAUUACUGGGCGUAAAGAGCUCGUAGGUGGUUUGUCGCGUUGUUCGUGAAAACUCACAGCUCAACUGUGGGCGUGCGGGCGAUACGGGCAGACUUGAGUACUGCAGGGGAGACUGGAAUUCCUGGUGUAGCGGUGGAAUGCGCAGAUAUCAGGAGGAACACCGGUGGCGAAGGCGGGUCUCUGGGCAGUAACUGACGCUGAGGAGCGAAAGCGUGGGGAGCGAACAGGAUUAGAUACCCUGGUAGUCCACGCCGUAAACGGUAGGUACUAGGUGUGGGUUUCCUUCCUUGGGAUCCGUGCCGUAGCUAACGCAUUAAGUACCCCGCCUGGGGAGUACGGCCGCAAGGCUAAAACUCAAAGAAAUUGACGGGGGCCCGCACAAGCGGCGGAGCAUGUGGAUUAAUUCGAUGCAACGCGAAGAACCUUACCUGGGUUUGACAUGCACAGGACGUGCCUAGAGAUAGGUAUUCCCUUGUGGCCUGUGUGCAGGUGGUGCAUGGCUGUCGUCAGCUCGUGUCGUGAGAUGUUGGGUUAAGUCCCGCAACGAGCGCAACCCUUGUCUCAUGUUGCCAGCACGUAAUGGUGGGGACUCGUGAGAGACUGCCGGGGUCAACUCGGAGGAAGGUGGGGAUGACGUCAAGUCAUCAUGCCCCUUAUGUCCAGGGCUUCACACAUGCUACAAUGGCCGGUACAAAGGGCUGCGAUGCCGUGAGGUGGAGCGAAUCCUUUCAAAGCCGGUCUCAGUUCGGAUCGGGGUCUGCAACUCGACCCCGUGAAGUCGGAGUCGCUAGUAAUCGCAGAUCAGCAACGCUGCGGUGAAUACGUUCCCGGGCCU
rnacentral:rRNA from 1 species